rnacentral:rRNA from 1 species
CAUGCCUAACACAUGCAAGUCGAACGAAGCCUUCGGGCUUAGUGGCGCACGGGUGCGUAACGCGUGGGAAUCUGCCCUUCGGUUCGGAAACAACAGUUAGAAAUGACUGCUAAUACCGGAUGAUGACGUAAGUCCAAAGAUUUAUCGCCGAAGGAUGAGCCCGCGUAGGAUUAGCUAGUUGGUGAGGUAAAGGCUCACCAAAGGCGACGAUCCUUAGCUGGUCUGAGAGGACGAUCAGCCACACUGGGACUGAGACACGGCCCAGACUCCUACGGGAGGCAGCAGUGGGGAAUAUUGGACAAUGGGCGAAAAGCCUGAUCCAGCAAUGCCGCGUGAGUGAUGAAGGCCUUAGGGUUGUAAAGCUCUUUUACCCGGGAUGAUAAUGACAGUACCGGGAGAAUAAGCCCCGGCUAACUCCGUG